GACGAACGCUGGCGGCGUGCCUAAUACAUGCAAGUCGAGCGGACCGAUGGGGGCGUUGCUCCUUUAGGUUAGCGGCGGACGGGUGAGUAACACGUGGGCAACCUGCCCUGCAGACUGGGAUAACUUCGGGAAACCGGAGCUAAUACCUUAUGACGCAUUUCGGUCGCAUGUUUGGAAUGCCAAAGAUUUAUUGCACAUAGAUGAGCUCGCGUCCCAUUAGAUAGUUGGUGAGGUAACGGCCCACCAAGUCGACGAUGGGUAGCCGGACUGAGAGGUUGAACGGCCACAUUGGAACUGAGAAACGGUCCAG
rnacentral:rRNA from 1 species